rnacentral:rRNA from 1 species
AUGAACGCUGGCGGCGUGCCUAAUACAUGCAAGUCGAACGAGUUCUUGUUGAUGAUCGGUGCUUGCACCAAGAUUCAACAUGGAACGAGUGGCGGACGGGUGAGUAACACGUGGGUAACCUGCCCUUAAGUGGGGGAUAACAUUUGGAAACAGAUGCUAAUACCGCAUAGAUCCAAGAACCGCAUGGUUCUUGGCUGAAAGAUGGCGUAAGCUAUCGCUUUUGGAUGGACCCGCGGCGUAUUAGCUAGUUGGUGAGGUAAUGGCUCACCAAGGCGAUGAUACGUAGCCGAACUGAGAGGUUGAUCGGCCACAUUGGGACUGAGACACGGCCCAAACUCCUACGGGAGGCAGCAGUAGGGAAUCUUCCACAAUGGACGCAAGUCUGAUGGAGCAACGCCGCGUGAGUGAAGAAGGCUUUCGGGUCGUAAAACUCUGUUGUUGGAGAAGAAUGGUCGGCAGAGUAACUGUUGUCGGCGUGACGGUAUCCAACCAGAAAGCCACGGCUAACUACGUGCCAGCAGCCGCGGUAAUACGUAGGUGGCAAGCGUUAUCCGGAUUUAUUGGGCGUAAAGCGAGCGCAGGCGGUUUUUUAAGUCUGAUGUGAAAGCCCUCGGCUUAACCGAGGAAGCGCAUCGGAAACUGGGAAACUUGAGUGCAGAAGAGGACAGUGGAACUCCAUGUGUAGCGGUGAAAUGCGUAGAUAUAUGGAAGAACACCAGUGGCGAAGGCGGCUGUCUGGUCUGUAACUGACGCUGAGGCUCGAAAGCAUGGGUAGCGAACAGGAUUAGAUACCCUGGUAGUCCAUGCCGUAAACGAUGAAUGCUAGGUGUUGGAGGGUUUCCGCCCUUCAGUGCCGCAGCUAACGCAUUAAGCAUUCCGCCUGGGGAGUACGACCGCAAGGUUGAAACUCAAAGGAAUUGACGGGGGCCCGCACAAGCGGUGGAGCAUGUGGUUUAAUUCGAAGCAACGCGAAGAACCUUACCAGGUCUUGACAUCUUUUGAUCACCUGAGAGAUCAGGUUUCCCCUUCGGGGGCAAAAUGACAGGUGGUGCAUGGUUGUCGUCAGCUCGUGUCGUGAGAUGUUGGGUUAAGUCCCGCAACGAGCGCAACCCUUAUGACUAGUUGCCAGCAUUUAGUUGGGCACUCUAGUAAGACUGCCGGUGACAAACCGGAGGAAGGUGGGGAUGACGUCAAAUCAUCAUGCCCCUUAUGACCUGGGCUACACACGUGCUACAAUGGAUGGUACAACGAGUUGCGAGACCGCGAGGUCAAGCUAAUCUCUUAAAGCCAUUCUCAGUUCGGACUGUAGGCUGCAACUCGCCUACACGAAGUCGGAAUCGCUAGUAAUCGCGGAUCAGCACGCCGCGGUGAAUACGUUCCCGGGCCUUGUACACACCGCCCGUCACACCAUGAGAGUUUGUAACACCCGAAGCCGGUGGCGUAACCCUUUUAGGGAGCGAGCCGUCUAAGGUGGGACAAAUGAUUAGGGUG